UACAGAGGGUGCAAGCGUUAAUCGGAAUUACUGGGCGUAAAGCGUGCGUAGACGGUUAUGUAAGUCGGGUGUGAAAGCCCCGGGCUCAACCUGGGAAUUGCAUUCGAGACUGGAUAGCUAGGGUACGGAAGAGGGAAGCGGAAUUUCAGGUGUAGCGGUGAAAUGCGUAGAUAUCUGCAGGAACACCCGUGGCGAAAGCGGCGCGCUGGACCACAACUGACGCUGAGGAACGAAAGCUAGGGGAGCAAACAG
rnacentral:rRNA from 1 species